rnacentral:tRNA from 1 species
GGUUCCGUAGCUCAGCUGGAUAGAGCAACAGCCUUCUAAGCUGUGGGUCGUGCGUUCGAAUCGCACCGGGAUCACCA